AUAAUGAUACUUCUCUAAGGAGCCGGUGGAGAACCCAGCGGGGUGAAAUUCCCAUGA
rnacentral:ncRNA from 1 species